rnacentral:rRNA from 1 species
CGUAGGUGGCAAGCGUUGUCCGGAUUUAUUGGGCGUAGAGCGAGCGCAGGCGGAAGAAUAAGUCUGAUGUGAAAGCCCUCGGCUUAACCGAGGAACUGCAUCGGAAACUGUUUUCUUGAGUGCAGAAGAGGAGAGUGGAACUCCAUGUGUAGCGGUGGAAUGCGUAGAUAUAUGGAAGAACACCAGUGGCGAAGGCGGCUCUCUGGUCUGCAACUGACGCUGAGGCUCGAAAGCAUGGGGUAGCGAAACAGGAUU